rnacentral:lncRNA from 1 species
CAGAUAGGUUCCUCUUGUCAGGAGAAUGAAUCAAUUUCAGCUAGCAGAAUCACAAGAGCUGCUGGGGUUUUCCUAAACCUAUAUCUCAAUGCAAAUUGUAGUUCUGAAUUCUCAUGCCAUUGUGUCCGAGGCGGCAAUGCUUCUGAAGAUUGGGGAAAUUCUUGAGAAGGUCAAUAUGCAUUAUGUCAGUAAGGAAGUUAUGCAUUAUGUCAGUAAGCAAUGCUUCUGAAGAGGUGGACUGUCGGGCGACGUCAGGAGUACAGCAGCUCGGGCCUUGGCUGAAUUAAAACAGACGACAGUAAGGAAGUUAUGCAUUAUGUCACAGGUAGUGCAACAGUUUGAGAAGGUCAAUACCUAAAAUAUCACUGUUCUGUAGAAUUAACGAAGAAGACAGCUUAUGUACAAAACCUGAAAAACAACAAUAUACUGUAGGAUACAACUUAUAUACAGCCAGAAUUUGGUUCACAGGUUAAUCAAAACAUUUGCAAUAUGCUAAAUCAAAUAGAAAUCAGUAUCUUCUUUUCAAGGGUGAAAACACAUUAUGUCACAGGUACUGCACAAAGUACCAAAUGGGAAAACUGAAUUAUAUUGUUUCCACUCAACACCUUCUACUUAGAGCAUCCCUAACCGAUACCUUAUAAUCUAGA